rnacentral:lncRNA from 1 species
UGCUCUUCCUUCCUCCCUUACCAUCAGGAGCCAAGCUUUUGUUUUCGGUAGUGUCAACAUGGUAUGCUUACAAACAACCACACUCCAAGUCAGAGUCAUUUAUCAGAUGCAUCCUGUGUGCCAGGCCCAGGGCUGGUGGCUGGGGACACAGCUAGGGACAAUCUGAGACAUCUCUGCCCUUGUGGGCCUCAUCAGGAUGGAAGAUGGACAGUACGGAUAAAGUGGAACACAAGACCUGAUGUGGCAGAGGAAGGGUCUUUCCAGAUCAGGUGUAUUGGAUCCACUGUCUGACUGCCUUGCAACCCCUGCAUCUUCCUGAGGCCUCCAGUCUGAAGAAGCUCCAGAACAAUGACAAUCUCCACACCAUCCAGGCUGCCUUAGAGCCCAGCGAAUAUUCAAACAAGUCCUCGCAUAUGCAUGACCACAGCAGUGCUGUCGUGAAAAAUUACCAAGCCACAAUCACCAAAACAUGGAAACAGUCCAAGAGGAAAACAAUCUAAGAUCAACUCCAAAAUCAAGGGGAUGGGGGUGGAGGAAAUGAGUGGAUUAAUCAAAUGUGGCUCGGGAGUUCCCAUUGUGGCACAGUGGAAAUGAAUCCAACCAGGAACCAUGAGGAUGCAGGUUCGAUCCCAGUCCCUGCCCAUUGGGUUAAGGAUCCAGCGUUGCUGUGAGCUGUGGUGUAGGUUGCAGAUGUGGCUCGGAUCUGGCAUUGCUGUGGCUGUGGCAUAGGCCAGUAGCUACAGCUCCGUUUGGACCCCUAGCCUGGGAACCUCCAUAUGCCAUGGGUGCGGCCCUAAAAAUACAAUAGAUAAAUAAAUAAAUAAAAAUGUGUCUCA